rnacentral:rRNA from 1 species
CCUACGGGAGGCAGCAGUGGGGAAUUUUGGACAAUGGGCGAAAGCCUGAUCCAGCAAUGCCGCGUGCAGGAUGAAGGCCUUCGGGUUGUAAACUGCUUUUGUACGGAGCGAAAAGGUUCUUUUUAAUAAAGAGAAUCCAUGACGGUACCGUAAGAAUAAGCACCGGCUAACUACGUGCCAGCAGCCGCGGUAAUACGUAGGGUGCAAGCGUUAAUCGGAAUUACUGGGCGUAAAGCGUGCGCAGGCGGUUAUAUAAGACAGUUGUGAAAUCCCCGGGCUCAACCUGGGAACUGCAUCUGUGACUGUAUAGCUAGAGUACGGUAGAGGGGGAUGGAAUUCCGCGUGUAGCAGUGAAAUGCGUAGAUAUGCGGAGGAACACCGAUGGCGAAGGCAAUCCCCUGGACCUGUACUGACGCUCAUGCACGAAAGCGUGGGGAGCAAACAGGAUUAGAUACCCUGGUAGUCCACGCCCUAAACGAUGUCAACUGGUUGUUGGGUCUUCACUGACUCAGUAACGAAGCUAACGCGUGAAGUUGACCGCCUGGGGAGUACGGCCGCAAGGUUGAAACUCAAAAGGAAUUGACGG